CUCGCUGUAGCUCAGUGGCAGAGCGAGGGACUGUAAUUGUACGAGCGUUUGGCAUCCCUCGGUCCUCUGUUCGAUCCAGAGUAGCGAGA